AGCAGCAGCCACGGUAAUGCGUAGGUGGCAAGCGUUGUCCGGAAUUACUGGGCGUAAAGCGCGCGCAGGUGGUUUAAUAAGUCUGAUGUGAAAGCCCACGGCUCAACCGUGGAGGGUCAUUGGAAACUGUUAAACUUGAGUGCAGGAGAGAAAAGUGGAAUUCCUAGUGUAGCGGUGAAAUGCGUAGAGAUUAGGAGGAACACCAGUGGCGAAGGCGGCUUUUUGGCCUGUAACUGACACUGAGGCGCGAAAGCGUGGGGAGCAAACAGGAUUAGAUACCCCUGUAGUCCCUGUCUCUUAUAC
rnacentral:rRNA from 1 species